AACGAACGCUGGCGGCAGGCUUAACACAUGCAAGUCGAGCGCCCCGCAAGGGGAGCGGCAGACGGGUGAGUAACGCGUGGGAAUCUACCCAUCUCUACGGAAUAACGCAUGGAAACGUGUGCUAAUACCGUAUACGUCCUUCGGGAGAAAGAUUUAUCGGAGAUGGAGGAGCCCGCGUUGGAUUAGCUAGUUGGUGGGGUAAAGGCCUACCAAGGCGACGAUCCAUAGCUGGUCUGAGAGGAUGAUCAGCCACACUGGGACUGAGACACGGCCCAGACUCCUACGGGAGGCAGCAGUGGGGAAUAUUGGACAAUGGGCGCAAGCCUGAUCCAGCCAUGCCGCGUGAGUGAUGAAGGCACUAGGGUUGUAAAGCUCUUUCACCGGUGAAGAUAAUGACGGUAACCGGAGAAGAAGCCCCGGCUAACUCCGUGCCAGCCGCCGCCGUAACAC
rnacentral:rRNA from 1 species